ensembl:lncRNA
GCUUUCUCCACCCCACACAUAGAGAGAGUGGUUAUUUUCCUACUUCCAGAAGCGUCAACAAGGCAGUUAAUCACCAUAUCAAUGGUGAUAGCGUAACUUUGUUGGUGAGGGUAGCAUUUCUAGAGAUUUCUGAAAAUCAGUCAUAAUUUCCAAGUGCUGCGUUUCAUUACACUUUUCCUCACCCUGCUACAUCCAGGGCUUUGUUUCCAGGGUGGGCUGGAAUGCUUUAAAACAAGCACUCGUCUGUACUAUUAUUCCUUCCUUCCUCUUUGGAGCUGUGAAAGGCCACCAGGGCCUGUCUCCAGGACUCUCCCUAUAAAGGAUGUUUUCUUUAUGCAGACAAAGGCCACGGGGAAAUUAAGGAUAAAUGUUGCAACCUUAUGGAUUUACCUGUUCUCAGCCAAGAGAAGAGAUCUGUGUAAACAGAAUAUGCAAAACCAACGUUUUCAAGAUUUCGUCAAUAUAGUCAAUAAAAAAGCACGUCUUUAUUCCUAAGGAAAAGAGGAAAUGUAAGGAAGCUAUGAUGCAAACAGUAAAAAUAAAAGUUGAAUGCUGUAUGACAUAUUUUUGUUCUUUUCUCCACUUUAACCACUUUGCUUAAGUAAGACCAUGAAAGUACAAUACUAAAAAGG